rnacentral:rRNA from 1 species
UACGUAGGGUGCAAGCGUUGUCCGGAAUUAUUGGGCGUAAAGAGCUCGUAGGCGGUCUGUCGCGUCGGCUGUGAAAACCCGAGGCUCAACCUCGGGCCUGCAGUCGAUACGGGCAAACUAGAGUACUGCAGGGGAGACUGGAAUUCCUGGUGUAGCGGUGAAAUGCGCAGAUAUCAGGAGGAACACCGGUGGCGAAGGCGGGUCUCUGGGCCGUAACUGACGCUGGAGGAGCGAAAGCAUGGGGAGCGAACAGG